GCUCCAAUUUCUAUCCCCAUCUCCACCCCUCUCCCCCACGACUGCAUCCAGCGGCGAGAUUUGAGGAUCACGCCGUCGGCGCACCCUGCGGCACCAGCCGCGUAAUCCUUCUCCAACGACGGCUGCUCGUCCGCCCUCCCAUCAAGCCCCGCGCUCGCUGUCCACAAGGAACGGCCGCCACGCCUCGCCGGCCAAGAUCGGAUCCGCCAACCCGCGACAUCGAAGUCGCCAGUCUCUACAGGCAACAUCAUAGCCGCUUGCCUCAUCCUCACCAUCGCCCAACUCCAGCGCCUUCCCCAGCUUCCUUUCUCACCUCGUGCUUUACCAAGAUCUGGACGUUUCCUCACCACCCCUCCAUCAGCCACUACUUGAGAUUAGAUGCUGAUUUAGAUGUUUGGUUUCGUCCAGUGACCAACAAGAUGGCGGCGGCUGGAGACAACAGGUUUGGGAGAGGCAACCCGAUGAUGCAGUGCUGCUAGGGGAUGGGUGAGAAACUCUGCAAGGAACCCCGCUGCAAUACCAUUAGAUCUGGUCCCCUUCCAACUAUUCGAGGUUCAUCUAGAUAAGGAGUAAGAUCAAUGCCCUUUGCUCUUCUCAAAGAUUAAGGAAGCAUUGUACAACAGCAGUGCGAGUACACAAUUAGCUGUAGCUGCAGAAGAAGAUGUGCACUAGGAGGAUUUAGCCGCGAGACAUGAAGCAGAAGAUAGAGAAUUUGAAGAGAUGCAAAGAAGAGCCAACAGGAGAAGAAUAAGCCUGACAAAAGAAGCAACAUGAGAUGGAUAACCUGAUUGGUUUUCUUUUAAGGGCUGAAGCAACUCAACAAGCAAAUCAGUCCAACCAGAUGGUGCAUGAAGGCCAUCAUUUUGUUAAAGAAAGAUAGUUAUUUAAUCAUACAUUGCAAUCAUUAGGACAACAUAAGUGGUCUUUUAGUUAUCUAAAUAUUACUUUUCGUCUUAUUUAUUCUUGUGUCAAACUUGAGUCUAUGAUACUUUUUAUUGCCAUUUCUAUUUAGAAGAUGAUUUGGCUGACAGAUGGAAUAAAUAAUACUA